GCUGAACGACGAACGGAGUGGCACAGAUUUGAGCAGGGGUCGUCAACGGCGUGAACGGCAGCCGCCAAAGCACGGAUCGAACGAGUGGUGAAAUAGUGAAAGUGAAAAAUCAGCCCCAAAUGCCCAACGCUCAACGCCAAAGCUCAAAUUUAUCGAUUCCAGAAAAACUUGAUUAUGAUGCAUAUGAGCGUUUGUGCGUUUAAAAAAACACUGAUAAUUCACGUUGAUUGCAACGCACGUUUGGCCUCCGAAACGCCAAUCCAAACGGGCCCUAAUCUAUAUAUCUAUAUAUAUCUAUAUAUAUAUAUUAAAGCAGUAACAUUCCAAGCAUGCCAUUAUCAAAAACCUCAGCUCCUGAAUAUUUUACAAUAUUUUAUUCUCUUUCGUUUGCACCACAACACGACACGUGUCUAAUUUAGAUUAUUAUAUUCAGAUUUAUUCCUCCAUCCUUUCAUUCAUUUUCUCUCUCCCAAUAUCUCAUUCACAUUACAUUUAAUGAAUUCGUCUCUCUCAUCUCUCCUCCUUUUCACCAAUGUGGCUUCUCUCUCCCCAAUAUUUUUUUGAACUCUUCUCUCUCCCCAAAUAUUAUUCCCAUGCUUCUCUCUCUUUCCAUCAACCCAUGAUUUCAAAUUUAUCCUAAUUUCAAUUAAAAUCUUCAAUAUAUCAAGGUUGUUUCCAAUGCCUCAUUAUUUGUCUCUCUCUCUCUCUCAUAUCUCCUCCUUUCCAAUACCACCGCCCCCAUUAUCUUUAUUUUGGCCAAUUACAUGUGUGCAUUCCCACUUUUGGAUUAAUUGAUACAUCUACAAUUUUCCAGGUCUUUCUAUUUCCAUUUUAAAUUUUGGUUUUAUUUUUAUGGUUCUAAAAAUUGAAAUAUAUAUGUGAAACCUGUUAUGCAUUAGGUUUUGAUAUGAAUUCACCAGCUCCUUGGAAUACAAAUUAGUUCAUGUUGAUGAGUAAACUUGGCUUCAAUUUCCUAUAAUGUUUUUCUUAACACAGAAUAUAUUUCAGUUUUUUGUUUUCAUUUUUGCGUGUGUUCUGAGCUGAUUAGGUAGUAAAAAUAUUUGAUUUUGGCUUAUCCUAUUUCAGUUGUUGAUUAUUUUGGAUAUUGGGUUCUGAGCCUCUUGGGCAUGCACGGUUCACCAUUUUUCUGCAAGGUGUAAAUAGUGGUCUUAAACAUAUUCCAGUUAGCAGAGUCACUUUUCUAGAUGGCGUUUGCUCUGGCAGUGUUGUUGUGAAGGUGAUUCGUUUCUGGUCGUGUCCUACCUUAGAAGUGAAUGCAGCUUUGAACCAUUUUUCGUCUCUGCCUCUUCUUCAAUCCUUAUGGUGAUGAGGUACCUGAUUUGAUGCUGAUUUCACCAACUCCAAUAUCGGUGUUGUAGAUGUUGGUCUUGAUGAACUAUUUGAGGUUCACAGGAAAAAAAUACUAAUUUGAACUUAAGCACCAGGUGGCUUGGAUGUAGGAGAAGAGAUUUAUUUGAGCAAGGCUCUUAAAGUAAAAGCCAUAUGAAAAGUUCAAGAAAUCAUGGUCAAGGAGAAUGUUCACCUUUGAGUAAUGUUUAAUCAUUCAGUAUAUAUCCCUCAAAGAGUGUUUGGUGUUUCAUGUAAGGAUGCAUGAGUUUUAGGUGAAGUGCAUAAUGGUUGGUACAUAGAGAAGGACAUUUGGGGUAUUCCAUGAGAGAGCUUGAGCAUAAAAGAGGUUAGAGAAGCAAGCCAUUGAGAGAGCAUGAUUCAUUUAAAUUCCCAUUUUUUUUGGCUGCAGAUUGCAUAAAUGGGGGCAAGCCAUUGAUAGCAAUCCAACUUCCAACUUUUGCCAUUCCUAAUUUUCUAUAAUAUGGAACAAGGAUUCAAGUUUAUGACGAUCUUCGAAGAGCUAAGGAAGUAAAUACGCCCCCUUAAUUCCAUUUGUCCAUCCCCCCAAAUCAUGCUUAGGCCCCAUUUAUAUUCUUUAAAUUUCCAACAAUGGUACCCCUUUUUAGAAUCAAUCCUAACCUUAAAUAAUGAUGAUAUUUAUUUUAUUUUGCUUCA